UAGUUCAGCACUAAGUCACUUUGCUUUUAUGGUAAAUGUGAGAUGCAGUGUAUGGAACAUCAUAAAUCUAGUAUGAGAAAUUAACGAUUUAAGUCCUUCUUAAAUGAGGCCAUUUACCCAUAGAGGGUGCCAGGCCCGUAUAACGUUAAUGAUUACUAGAGGUUGUUUCCAAAGAGUCGUGUUGCUUGAUAGUGCAGCACUAAGUGGGUGGUAAACUCCAUCUAAAACUAAAUAUAACCAUGAGACCGAUAGUAAACAAGUACCGUGAGGGAAAGUUGAAAAGAACUCUGAAUAGAGAGUUAAAUAGUACGUGAAACUGCUUAGAGGUUAAGCCCGAUGAACCUGAAUAUCCAUUGUAGAAAAUUCAGCAUUGUGAAUAAGUGAAGCAGUGUGCAUUUUUUCUGCAUAAGGACAUUGUAAUCUAUUAACAAUAUAUGUAUUUAUCAAAAGAUCAUUUGCAGCAGUUUAUUCAAAUUAAUUUGCGUUUGCUUGUUAACACAGAAUAAUUGCAUGAUGAUUGGAUAAAGUGUUGAUAGAUUUAUUAUAUAUGGUGCUUAAAUUCAUUUGAAUUUUAUAAUGACAUUGGAUUCAUUGAUUCUGCGUGUUCAUUAUAUGCGCUUAUAUGAU
rnacentral:rRNA from 1 species